GUCUCGCGUUACCUCAAGGGACAGAAAGGGAAGUGGCUUGUCUCCCUGGGGCUAGCUGGCGGAUAUCUGGACUGGGCGCCCACCCGCCCUUGCUUUCCUCCCUCCCUUGUGUUCCAGCUUCCAGAACUCCGGAACCUCCAACCUGAAGGAGCUGCUUUUCACCGGAUUCCCAGAGCCCCGGCACUGGUGGAUGCAAAAGAGCGUGGUGCCGGGUUGCGGUGACAGCCAAGCUCGCUUGUCACCACCUAGAGGCGGGAUGACCUCUCAGAAAUGCAAGUGAUGCCAGGGUGCUUGUUCAUGAAACCGAAGAAUGAGCUUCACAAACACUCAAGGGACCUGGAAAUUCAAACAACGAUAUAUACUGCAUCAAUUAUAUCUCCAGGAUUCACAGAGGUGACUGAAUGAGGACAUGAAGAAGGUAAUGCCAUUGAAAGAAAGUUAUUACUUAGUGCUUUCAGGAGAAGGGGGUACGCACACUGUGCAGGGUCACAUGUGGAAGCACCAGGUUUGGUCAGGAGGCAGAAGCGGAAGUGAAGGGAAAGCAGAGGCCACAGCCUUUAUUUAUUUAUUUGUUUCAAGAAAGGCAAGGUAAACAGAUUAGGAUUGGUUGGUUUGAAUAAUAUGAGCAGACUCUGGGCUAUUGGAACAGUCUCUAGUUGUCUGGCACCUGGCCCUGGGUGAUUUAGGGCAGGAGAAAUAUUGGCUUAGUGUGUGAAAGUUAGGUAAAGGAAGGGAUUGGGGAGAUGGGCUUAAUAUGGGUUGGGAGGUUUGUAAUAUGAUUUUUGCAUAUUUACAAAAGCUGGAUUGCAGGGGAAAUGUAAACCACUUGGACUGUUAGUAGGGUCCUGUGAUUAAUGGAUGCCAAAUAGAUGCAGUAUCUAAGAAAACACAGACUAGCACCCCAUCUACUAGAUAGGCUAAAUUAGAGAGACAUACUGACAAUACAAAAUCUGGCAGGGAUGUGGAACAACUGUAAUACUUGUACACUACUGGUGUAUGAAGUUCAAGAGUAGGAAAAACGCAUCAAGGAUAUUAGAAGUCAAAAGAGCAGUUUCAUCUUCUUUGGAGGAGUGUUACUGAAAGGGGCACAAAGAGGAUACUGAGCUGGUGAAGUCUUUUUCUUUGGCUUAAUUGACAGAAAACAGCAGAUAUAAUAUACAACAAUAUACAUUUAUCAUACUGUGUCAUGGUUAGAAGAAUUCUCUGGCUCUGUGCCAUAAUCUAAUACAUUGAGAUCUUGGUCAUUUUACCCAUCCCAUAAGAUCUUGCUAGUUAUGAUGUAAUAAGAAAUAUAUAUUUGAUCUCUG